GUGGAUUAGAUACCCUGGUAGUCCACGCUGUAAACGAUGAAUACUAGGUGUGGGAGGACUGACCCCUUCCGUGCCGCAGUUAACACAAUAAGUAUUCCACCUGGGGAGUACGACCGCAAGGUUGAAACUCAAAGGAAUUGACGGGGGCCCGCACAAGCGGUGGAUUAUGUGGUUUAAUUCGACGCAACGCGAAGAACCUUACCAGGGCUUGACAUCCAACUAACGAAGCAGAGAUGCAUUAGGUGCCCUUCGGGGAAAGUUGAGACAGGUGGUGCACGGUCGUCGACAGCU
rnacentral:rRNA from 1 species